rnacentral:rRNA from 1 species
UACAGAGGUCUCAAGCGUUGUUCGGAUUCAUUGGGCGUAAAGAGCGUGUAGGCGGCCCGGUAAGUCCGCUGUGAAAGUCGGGGGCUCAACCCUCGAAUGCCGGUGGAUACUGUCGGGCUAGAGUGCGGAAGAGGCGAGUGGAAUUCCUGGUGUAGCGGUGAAAUGCGCAGAUAUCAGGAGGAACACCGAUUGCGAAGGCAGCUCGCUGGGACGUCACUGACGCUGAGACGCGAAAGCGUGGGGAGCAAACAGG